rnacentral:rRNA from 1 species
GACGAACGCUGGCGGCGUGCUUAACACAUGCAAGUCGAGCGGUAAGGCCCUUUCGGGGGUACACGAGCGGCGAACGGGUGAGUAACACGUGGGUGACCUGCCCUCAGCUCUGGGAUAAGCCUGGGAAACCGGGUCUAAUACCGGAUAUGACUCCAUGACGCAUGUUGUGGGGUGGAAAGCCUUGUGCGGCUGAGGAUGGGCCCGCGGCCUAUCAGCUUGUUGGUGGGGUGAGUC